AAAUUCAUAGCAAGUGACUUUGUUUGAUGAAUUCACGUCAACUCCAAUCAUGCUCUCGAAAUAAUCUUGAAAAUGAUCAUUUAAUAUGUGAUUUGGAGGCAUCAGAUCAACUUUUCUGUAGCCAUCAAAAUUGUUCAAUAUACAGCUCACGGUUAUUUUAAUCGGUUAGAUUGGAUCCUUCUAGGCCACUGAGCAAACGAAAGCAUUGGGUCGUUGCUGAAAUUCUGAAAAAAGCACGAAUUUUUGUGCCUCCAUCUGUUGAUAAUGCUACUAGUUCAAAGUAACAGAUUCUUCAACCUCUUAAGGUUUGGUCGGAUUCAGUACGCAUUCUUGAUUUUUUAUUUUCUUUUUGUUUUAUCAUUUUGGAAAGGUUGAUGUUUCCUAAGGAGCAUAAUAAAUUGUGCACUGUUAUUUGCAUAAUCUAUAAGAUCAAAGGAUUCAAAAACUUGCUGUUAGUUUCUGACAUGUAAAAUAUAGAAUUCUUAUUUACAGGAGUUACUCAAUGUGAAUGCUAAAUUGCUUUUU